AGCAGGAGAAAACUAGGUUAAAUGGAGAAAGUGAUCAUCUGCCUGGAAGAUGCUCUAGAAUAGAAGCUCUGGAGUCAGUGUCAGGGUCUUUCCCGUCUCAGGAUGAGAUGGAGCCCGGAGUAGCCCGGAGCAGCCUCCCUGGAGCCCGGCUGGGCUGGCUAAGCUCAGCUCUGCACUGGAAGAUUCCCUGCGUCUUAAGUCACAGAAAGCCCCUUGGCCUUUGGAUGGCAAAACAUCUGGGUCGGGGCUGGAUGGGAAUGCGUCACAGUGGCUUUUCUUUCCGGAUGAGUAAAGCUUUCUUUGAUGCCCGCGGCCUUUUCUCCACCAACACAAAACCACAGCCCCCGCCCCGGGCCGGGGAAGGAGAUGGUGGCGUGCACUGUCAGUAGAAGAGACAGGCUUGCCCACCCCAGUCCUCCCCUAGUUCACCAUGACCGUGGCCUUGUGUGGAAGUGCUACCCUGGAGGGCACGCGGCUCACGAAGCCACACCCUUUCGUGACCAGUGAGAACCUUGCCAAACCAAGCAGGCCAGGUGUUUCCUGCUUCUUCCUCAGCUCUGCGGUGGCUCUUGGUGUGUUGAAGCAGAACUAUGUCUCCAAAGACCUGGGGCCAGGCUUCGUGUGCACUCCGCGGGCUUUUCUCACCUGUCUGUUUUAUCAGUGUUUAUUGAGCGUGUAGUAAGUGCAGAGCCAAGAAGAGAUGACAGUUCCAUCCUCACUGCACAGAACUGUUCGGCCUUUUCUUUGUCCUUGAACCAAACUCAAGGUCAACCUGGUGUCCAUGUGCUUUGCUAAGAUGCUGAAGAUGCUGGGGUUUACGGCUCCCGGGACAUUCUUUUCAAGGUUGUCUGUGUGUAACGGAAGGUGGAGGUGCCCUAAGGAACAAUGGGUACCUCUUAAGCCCUUGCAACCGAAUGGAAGCUACCUUCAUUGCAGGGAGGCCCUCUGGGGUCCUUGACAUUGUCACUGCGGUUCCCACGAGUACCUUUCUCUCUGUCACGGAGCCCACACCACUUGGUCUGUCUCUAAACAUCCCUGACAAAGGAGUGCUCCCUGGGCCAGUUUUCUUCAAAAUGGCCCCUCAGCACCGCCGCGUCACCGAGUCCCCUGCCCCGACUCAUCCCUCGGCACUGACCUUACACAGAACUUAUCCGUGUGGCAAUUGCAAGAGAAGUAACGUCGUGUCACCCCACUGCCAACCACACUGCAGCCUGUUAACUCGGGGAGAGUGGACGUUGGACAGGCAAGUUGCCUCGGUGGAAUGCGGAGCUCUUACCUCGCGAUGAGGAAACCUGGCCCUUCUAGGGGGCAUGUCAGGGUCCACUAUUUAAACUACAGCAGAUUUAAUGAGCCUGCUGUGUCACUUUAUUGCCGUCACUCGCUGUGUUUCUAAGCCACCAAGGGCAGCAUCUCAUGUAACAGAAAGUGAUCAAAUAAAGCAGCAGAUGGAAUUUUUUAUAUCUAACAUCCAAUUAAAAGAUUUCCUUUAAG
rnacentral:lncRNA from 1 species